AUUGAACGCUGGCGGCAUGCCUUACACAUGCAAGUCGAACGGUAACGCGGGGCAACCUGGCGACGAGUGGCGAACGGGUGAGUAAUAUAUCGGAACGUGCCCAGUAGUGGGGGAUAGCCCGGCGAAAGCCGGAUUAAUACCGCAUACGACCUAAGGGUGAAAGCGGGGGAUCGCAAGACCUCGCGCUAUUGGAGCGGCCGAUAUCAGAUUAGGUAGUUGGUGGGGUAAAGGCCUACCAAGCCUACGAUCUGUAGCUGGUCUGAGAGGACGACCAGCCACACUGGAACUGAGACACGGUCCAGACUCCUACGGGAGGCAGCAGUAGGGAAUAUUGGACAAUGGGCGCAAGCCUGAUCCAGCCAUGCCGCGUGAGUGAAGAAGGCCCUCGGGUUGUAAAGCUCUUUUGUCCGGAAAGAAAAGCGCCGGGUUAAUACCCUGGUGUCCUGACGGUACCGGAAGAAUAAGCACCGGCUAACUUCGUGCCAGCAGCCGCGGUAA
rnacentral:rRNA from 1 species